rnacentral:sRNA from 1 species
UCUGUAUGCCCUCCCGCAGCCCCGCCCCCUCCUGCAUCUGCGUCCCCUCCUGCAGCCCUGUCCCCUCCUGCAUCUGCACUUCCUCCUGCAGGUUACCUGAACGUGCUGGUCAACAGCCAGUGGAAGUCUCGCUGGUGCUCUGUCAGGGACAACCACCUGCACUUCUACCAGGACCGGAACCGGAGCAAGGUGGCCCAGCAACCCCUCAGCCUGGUGGGUUGCGAGGUGGUCCCAGACCCCAGCCCCGACCACCUCUACUCCUUCCGCAUCCUCCACAAGGGCGAGGAGCUGGCCAAGCUUGAGGCCAAGUCUUCCGAGGAAAUGGGCCACUGGCUGGGUCUCCUGCUCUCCGAGUCAGGCUCCAAGACAGACCCAGAAGAGUUCACCUACGACUACGUGGAUGCCGAUAGGGUUUCCUGUAUUGUGAGUGCAGCCAAAAACUCUCUCUUACUGAUGCAGAGAAAGUUCUCAGAGCCCAACACUUACAUCGAUGGCCUGCCUAGCCAGGACCGCCAGGAGGAGCUGUAUGACGACGUGGAACUGUCAGAGCUUACAGCUGCGGUGGAGCCUACCGAGGAAGCCACCCCUGUUGCAGAUGACCCAAAUGAGAGAGAAUCUGACCGAGUGUACCUGGACCUCACACCUGUCAAGUCCUUUCUGCACGGCCCCAGCAGUGCACAGGCCCAGGCCUCCUCCCCGACGUUGUCCCGCCUGGACAAUGCAACUGAGGCCCUCC